UCGUAAAUAAGGAGCUAUUUGAUUGGUCAGAUUUUAAAAUUUUUCUUUGCUUUUCUCUGAUUGGUUAACGGUAAUUUACCCACGCCAUUUUGAAAAAUAGAUCGACGAACCGAAUUGAGAGAGUUGGUGAUGUUUAAUAAGAUUUAGCUAAUAUUCGCCGAUGAAAUUGGUAGAAAAUAGAUGUUUAGCUACAGCAUGUUAGCAUGGAUCACAUUUAUAAACAAAGGAAAGCGAAAACGGAAGGAGGUUGGCGUUUUUCAAGCAUCAUGCCCUGGCUUUCCUGGUGUAAACAACGCCAUAUGCGUUUGAGUGCCUCUGCAGAGCCAAAGAAGAAAAGCUGAUUAGUUAUAGAGGAAUAAGACACCCCCCACCCACCCUACCCCUUGAAGCAUUACAGUCUAAGAUUAUGCAGGACCAAGCAGGAUGACAGUGAGAUGUAUUUCUUCAAUAAAGUGCUGUGCAAAAGAAACCCCAAAGCAGAGAGAAGAUCUAGACUUUUGAAUUCAUAUCUCAUUAUAAAUGUACAAUUUUCAAAGACAAUAAGAUUGAUAAAACAUGACUUAGAAAUGAGGACAAUUGAAGAGU